GAAGCUGUGGAUUGUCCGUAGGACAAUGGUAGGAGAGCGUUCUAAGGGCGUUGAAGCAUGAUCGCAAGGACAUGUGGAGCGCUUAGAAGUGAGAAUGCCGGUGUGAGUAGCGAAAGACGGGUGAGAAUCCCGUCCACCGAUUGACUAAGGUUUCCAGAGGAAGGCUCGUCCGCUCUGGGUUAGUCGGGUCCUAAGCUGAGGCCGAUAGGCGUAGGCGAUGGAUAACAGGUUGAUAUUCCUGUACCACCAUAAUUCGUUUUAAGCGAUGGGGGGACGCAGUAGGAUAGGCGAAGCGUACGAUUGGAUUGUACGUCCAAGCAGUAAGACUGAGUGUUAGGCAAAUCCGGCACUCUUAAGGUCAAGCUGUGAUGGGGAGAGGAAAUUGUUUCCUCGAGUCGUUGAUUUCACACUGCCGAGAAAAGCCUCUAGCUAGAUUUAUGGUGCCCGUACCGCAAACCGACACAGGUAGUCAAGAUGAGAAUUCUAAGGUGAGCGAGCGAACUCUCGUUAAGGAACUCGGCAAAAUGACCCCGUAACUUCGGGAGAAGGGGUGCUCUUUAGGGUUAACGCCCAGGAGAGCCGCAGUGAAUAGGCCCAAGCGACUGUUUAUCA
rnacentral:rRNA from 1 species